rnacentral:misc_RNA from 1 species
AAACCCUCACCCUUGCGAUGUAACAGUCGCCCGUGGUGGACUUGGACUGUGCCGUAACCGGCUCGUCUUGAAAUGCAUUAGCUGGCGCUUUUAGAGUGCUGGGCGACGGUGUGAUAAUUAUCUGCGCCAAUGCCUUAGGCCUCUUCAGCGGUGCCGCUUACAGCCGUCCCUCUGUGGACACAUUAUUUUUAAAG